UACGUAGGGUGCAAGCGUUAAUCGGAAUUACUGGGCGUAAAGCGUGCGCAGGCGGUUUUGUAAGCCAGAUGCGAAAGCCCCGGGCUCAACCUGGGAAUGGCAUUUGGGACUGCAAGGCUUGAGUGCGGCAGAGGAGACUGGAAUUCCUGGUGUAGCAGUGAAAUGCGUAGAUAUCAGGAGGAAUACCGAUGGCGAAGGCAGGUCUCUGGGCUGACACUGACGCUCAUGCACGAAAGCGUGGGGAGCAAACAGG
rnacentral:rRNA from 1 species